rnacentral:rRNA from 1 species
GACGAACGCUGGCGGCGUGCUUAACACAUGCCAGUCGAACGGAAAGGCCCUGCUUGCCGGGUACUCGAGUGGCGAACGGGUGAGUAACACGUGGGUGAUCUGCCCUGCACUUCGGGAUAAGCCUGGGAAACUGGGUCUAAUACCGGAUAGGAGCCAUUUUUCGUGUGAUGGUUGGAAAGUUUUUUCGGUGUAGGGUGAGCUCGCGGCCUAUCAGCUUGUUGGUGGGGUAAUGGCCUACCAAGGCGGCGACGGGUAGCCGGCCUGAGAGGGUGGACGGCCACCAUGGGACUGAGGUACGGCCCAGACUCCUACGGGGGGCAGCAGUGGGGAAUAUUGCACAAUGGGCGCAAGCCUGAUGCAGCGACGCCGCGUGGGGGAUGACGGCCUUCGGGUUGUAAACUCCUUUCGCUAGGGACGAAGCUUUUUGUGACGGUACCUAGAGAAGAAGCACCGGCUAACUACGUG